rnacentral:rRNA from 1 species
CUACGGGUCGCUGCAGUGGGGAAUAUUGCACAAUGGGCGCAAGCCUGAUGCAGCCAUGCCGCGUGUAUGAAGAAGGCCUUCGGGUUGUAAAGUACUUUCAGCGGGGAGGAAGGGAGUAAAGUUAAUACCUUUGCUCAUUGACGUUACCCGCAGAAGAAGCACCGGCUAACUCCGUGCCAGCAGCCGCGGUAAUACGGAGGGUGCAAGCGUUAAUCGGAAUUACUGGGCGUAAAGCGCACGCAGGCGGUUUGUUAAGUCAGAUGUGAAAUCCCCGGGCUCAACCUGGGAACUGCAUCUGAUACUGGCAAGCUUGAGUCUGGUAGAGGGGGGUAGAAUUCCAGGUGUAGCGGUGAAAUGCGUAGAGAUCUGGAGGAAUACCGGUGGCGAAGGCGGCCCCCUGGACGAAGACUGACGCUCAGGUGCGAAAGCGUGGGGAGCAAACAGGAUUAGAUACCCAAGUAGUC